CCCUUAGAUGUCCGGGGCCGCACGCGCGCUACACUGAAGGAAUCAGCGUGGCUUUCUCCCUGACCCGAAAGGGUUGGGAAACCCGUUGAAUCUCCUUCGUGAUAGGGAUUGGGGCUUGAAAUUGUUCCCCAUGAACGAGGAAUUCCCAGUAAGCGCGAGUCAUAAGCUCGCGUUGAAUACGUCCCUGCCCUUUGUACACACCGCCCGUCGCUACUACCGAUUGAACGGUUUAGUGAGGGCCUCGGAUUGGUCUCGGCCCGCUCUUUACCGGGCGGCGCCGUUGGUCGAGAAGACGCUCGAACUUGAUCGUUUAGAGGAAGUAAAAGUCGUAACA
rnacentral:rRNA from 1 species